AUGAAACAAAAAUUUGUGCUAUUUUGGUGGCGUGUUUGGCACCAUAGAAAUGACACGAUCUUCGCAGAAGGUAAAGCGGAAAUUUCCCACUCUGCUCGUUUUCUGCAAAACUAUCUUGGAAACCUCCGCUUGAUUUCGGAUGGAACUUCUGAGAUAUAUCGAAAAGGGAAAAGUCCGAUGGUUAAAUUACCAAGUGUGCAACAACAUGAUAAUACAAGGGAAACGAGAUGGCAAAAGCCAGAGCUCGGAUGGGCUAAGGUCAAUGUUGAUGGAAGUUUUCUGGAGAAAAGUAGGAGUAGAGUCUGGGACGCUGUGAUUCGAGACCAUGAUGGAAGAAUUAUCUUAUCAGCUUGGGAUUAUAUACCACGGUGCAAUGGAGCGGACUGCGAGGAAGCCAUGGCUUGCCUAAAAAGACUACGGAAGGCAAUGUCGGGGACGGAUCUGCCCGUAAUCGUUGAGACGGAUUGCAGAUUGGUGACAAAGGUGCUCAUCCUUUCGUCUAUUGAUAGAUCGGAAGUUGGAGGAAUUACAAAGGAGUUUCAAGCCAUCAAAGGGAACACAGAAGUUAGAGUUUUGAAAGUAGAUAGAAGGGACAAUAGGUUACUUCAUAGUCUUGUCUGGGCGUAG
rnacentral:rRNA from 1 species